ACAUUGAAUUCUUCACUGUGAGCAACAUCCUGUUGAAGGAUGAGCAGUAUAUAGCCCCUUUUCUCAAUCUCAGAGAAUAUCGUUGACUUGAGUGGUUGCAAAUGUUAGUAAAGGCUCACCAAGAAAGAUCAGCGUGACUGCCCCCAGUAAAGCGUACUUAUUUUACAUCAACUGGAUGAACAUACUCAUUUUGCAUUUUGCAUAACAUAGUUUUGUGGUACAAUUGCAAGUUUGCUUGUACAGGCAACUCCCAAAUUGCCUACCAACGACUUCAUACCAUAGAUGUUUUCUGUCCCUAUGUGGAUAUGGGCCCUGGUUGCUUUAGUGGUAGACGUCUGAAGGGUUAUAUAUUUUGGACAAUUUUAUUGUUACAUGAAUCAUCCAUCUUAGCCUGUUCUUAGUACUUGUGUUUUUGGACAGACAAGACACCAUAACCGUGGUAGCUGCUGAGUAAUGAUGUUAACUAUUACAGUUGAAAUUGGUGUGGCCCUAUCUGUAUUAUGGUUGAGUUACUUGUACAUGUAUCAUGUAUGUUUUGCAGGUUAUUGUUCCUCUGAUAGUUACUCCCCAUUAAGUUCAGAGGAGGGUUUGAGAAGGAAAUUCCUUUCAUUUAUGUGCAGGCACUCACAAAUGAAACAGUAUAUUUGUGAUAAUAUAAUUGUCUAUCAUGGUGGCCUGUACCACCGCCAUGGUUGGAUUCUGUUGUUGUCAUUAACUUUGUAUGUUAUUUUUACAUUUUCUUUAGUAAAUGAUUCCACCAGUCUGAACACGGCUCAAUUAGCGGACUGAGGGAAUAACAGGGAUGCAUUACCUAGUCUUAAGAUUUCCUGAUGAUCAGCUCUACCAUUUUCAUCUCAUUAGUGCUGACACCCAUGGACACAUCUACUUAAAGAGUCAUAGAGAUUGUUUAUCACAUCACCACAUCAAUGUAGUAGCUGAUUUAUUUGGGGAUGUUCUGGAAAGUGCACGACCGGCUCCCAGCAUUCCUCAGCUUGGAUAGCAGGCAGACGUCCCGGCAUUUACAAUACUAGGGAUGAUUGUCGCGUUCAGGUGGAAGGCUAUAGUGGGUGUUGUUCCCAGUCUUACCGGUCCUAUGAUGAGCCGCUGAUUGCUUGGUCCAUGUUUAAUGGUACCUAUGUGAUACUGACGACAUUCAAUGAUGAAAAACGCAGAAGUCCCUCAACCGCCGGUGUUAGCAUAUAAAGUGGAGUGCAUCCGGAUGUUCAGCGGCCUCUUCUGUGCACCAUCAUCCCUCCUCUGACGAAUGCAAGCGCAACGGGGACGCUGUCCUUGACUUUCUCAUAGGUUUAGUGGUUCUUUUUAUGUCAUUGUAUAUUGUAUUAGGUGUUAGACGUCAUCUUUGGUUCACCUCUUCAGAUUUCGGAGUUACAAUUGUGGUGUGUUUUGGACUUGCUCUAAGUUGUAUCCGUGAACGUUCUGUUUUGGCCACCUUCUAGACCGGUAUUACUUGCGGACCUUCUAUGCAGGCAGUUCUCAAUUUUUUAUUUAAAUUACCUACGUAUCAUGGUGGUAAUUUUAUCUAUUGUU